GGAAGGAAGGAAGGAAGGGAGGGAGGGAGGGAGGGAGGGAGGGAGGGAGGAAGGAAGGGAGGAAGGAAGGAAGGAAGGGAGGGAAAAAGGAAGGAACACAACACCAAUGCAUUAAUCUCUUUUUUUUUUUUUUUAAAGAAAAUCAUUUGCACACAUACUCACUGUUGCCCCUGAAGCUGGCUCAACACAGCACUGAGAAAAUCAUUACCAAGGUACAUGGCAUGUUAUGCUGACACGGGUUUAUACUGCACAGCCUCAUUCCUGUAAGGAUGCAGAUCUGGGUGACAGCAGAAGGGAGAGAGGCUUAUCACAAACUCAAAGCGAGGCUACACAGAUUCCAAGGUGACUACCCCAGCUUCCUAGUGACAAAUUGGCAACAAUUAUAAAGAGAUGUCUGAAGAAUGUGAACUUGCUGGGCCUGGCCUACCUUAGUUUUUCUCCUAAUCAGAGAGAUUAAAAGCCUCUGUUAAAUUCAAAGAGAGAGAAGGAGGGAAAGAAGAAAAUCCUAAACCCUGCAAUUCCAGUAAAAAUUAAAAAAAAAAAAAAAAAGACUCCUUGCACAGGUUCAACACCGUCUAGAAGGUUUUGCUCAUUGCAUAACAUUUGCUUUCCCCAAGCUCCUUCUAUCCCCUGUAUCUUUAAAAAAAAAAAAAAAAAAGUUGAAGUUACAUGUGUUCUGUUUGCACUAUUGGUUCACGCGAUCCAAAGAGUUCAUCGUGUACAGAGCACCACCUGUGUACUUAGCUUAAAUCUGUGGAAAUCUUUCAUCCCCAGGAAAGAGUAUAGAUUAUUUUUAUGCCAUCCAAAUGGGAGAAUGUCCCAGAUAGCAGAUGAUGAAGGGGCCCCAGAGGGACCAUAACGCUAACACGCUUACGAGCACUACAAAAUUUGGCUUCCAAGCCGCCUCUCCGUUUGGCAAUGCUUCCAGCUAGCUCCGUGAAUAGUAAAGACGUAGUCGCUACCAGUGUGGUGGAAGAGAAGGGCGGAAGGCAUGAAGCAUGUCCUUGCACAUGUGACAGCGUCGGAUUUAAGAGACGAGAAAUUCUCUUAGAAGAAGACCAGGAAACUGAGCAUCUCGACUGACAUGCUACAAACAGGGUUGUGCUCCGCCACCAUAGCAUAGGAUUAAAAACACAAAUCUUGACCACUCUUCAAAGACCUAAAGGUCCAGCUGCGUAACAUUUUUUUCCCGAGUGCCGGCUCUUGGCAUUUUGGUGAUUUCUGCGACAUUUACAAAGGGCCAGCCUUCGACAAAGUAUUCCUCUUAACUUCUUUCUUGUCUUUUUUUUUUCUUUUUUCUCUUUCUUUCUUUCUUUCUUUCUUUCUUUCUUUCUUUCUUUCUUUCUUUCUUUCUUUCUUUCCUUCCUUCCUUCCUUCCUUCCUUCCUUCCUUCCUUCCUUCCUUCCUUCCUUUUUAAUAUCACAUAAAGGUGAAGGGAAUACUUCUUUGCAGAACAGAUAUGCUAGAGAUGAACCUGAGUUGCUCUCUUUCAUCCUAAGUUUUCCUCUGUCUCUAUCCUGCCAUGAAGUCAUGAUACAUCUGUGACAGAAAAACUCCCAUGGUAACACACUGACAUCAUAAACACCAUAUUAAGACUUGGCUGCAAAAGCCAAAGGAGAUGAUGGGCUGGGAAGGAAGAAGCUAUAAUUCAAACAAAUCUCUUCCAUAAUCGCUAUGGGAACGCUAAACAUUACUGGCCAAGCAAAUUGCUUUUUGUAGAAGUGUUCUCUUUUUUGAAGUUUGCCCCAGUGUGAAAGUCCCUCUGUAAGUCAGAACCUUAGCAUUAUUUUAAUGUACUGUUCUGUAUUUAAUAAUCUCGGGCUUCAGACAUUAGUCUGUUACCAUGGGAAUGACAGCAGCACAAAUGCAGGAUUACGGCUAUCAAGCAGGAGAAAAGAAAUUAUGAAUAAGCCUCGUUACGUUCAAUAAUUAGCAGCUACAUGGAAAAAAACAAAACCAUGAAUUUAGAAGACUGGGAACCGGUGGGUAAUACACAACAUCCCAAGAUGGAUUCUGGUACCUCGAGCCAGCAUUUCUGGGGGAAAAGCACGACGAUACUGAACAUCACGGGCUCCUCUGCCUUAGUGAACUGCAAAAGGAACUGUUUCCAGGAAGACAGUGUUACCCUCUCCCACCGUGGAACGUCUCCGUGUCAAGAUGGUUGCCGUAGAAUGGUCCUGUUGAGCACAAGGCUUGAAGUCUUUCUUCUAAAGUGACAGUAAGGGACUCUGUACUCUUAUUACUUUUACCACAAUGACUAAGCAUUUCAUGCAGUUAGAACUCUUCUUAGCCAAGCCCGCAACUUUACUAACUAGGAAAGGUAAGCAAGAUGGUGAAUAUAUAUUUUGAGAUAUCAAAAGACCGCUGAAGCAGGUCUCCUUUGAACCAAAGACUGCACUCAGAUAUAAAAGCAUGUACGAGAGCAGUGCCGUGGCAUCUAGUCUCCCCUCAAUACUGCCAGACCCCUGGCAUCCUGUGGAAUCCAGCUCACUCUAGGAAGAGUGGCAAUUUUCACAUUACCCCAUCUAAAUCAGGUGGCAAGUCCAAACCCUUCAUCUAUUCUUCAACCAGUGGACAUUUGAUGGCUCCUUGGAACUUUGAGACUCCUCAGCUCCCCUCUUCCAUGAGGCUUCUGCAUUCUAAGGCAAUGGCACGACACAUCAUUGGGGGAAAGUAAUUUUAGAACGUGCCAUCCAAAUCAACUGGUCGUGAAUAGGCUCUGAUUAAAAUAUAAAGAGCUUUUAAAAUAAUUUAAAAUGAUUCACUGGAACUAAUUUAGAGAUAUUUUAAUCUCUGAAUGUGCAGUGAACUGUAGUCUCCCUUGGCCCCAGCCUCUCCUUAGAGACGGACAUUUCUAGUUAGGACUUUGCCACUGGGUAAGAGGCACCUAAGCAGUGCGAACUACACUGCCCAUGACUGCAUUUCCCUCUGCCUUUCUGAUUUAUGUUUUUCCAGCUCGGGCCCCAUUCCCUUCCACUUGCCAAACCAGACUGUGUGUAUACUUCCCCUUCUUGGUGAGCACUGCUCAUCUGUUUACGAGGCUAGAUAGCCGGAUAAUUUUGCACACAACAACGUGACAAUUAUUUAAAAAUCACAUGAGAUCAAAGGACCUCAGCUUACAUUUUUUAGUCAUCUGUUUGAAUUCCACUUUAGAUUAAACCAAGGAGUAUUUUCCCAACAUAAUGUACCAACGUAUUCAUGGAGAUUCUACUAAAGCCACCUGUGAACCAACACCCAAGUUGCACUUAACUAGGAUUUGCUACCGUGACUAUAAAGUUCAAGGGGGGAUCUGCUGCUGUGGAAAAGUGCCUUCUUAGACCCCACUACAGGUUUCUUCACAAAAUCCUUUGGCGCCUGAUCUCCAAGAUUUCCUGAAUCUCAGCCAAAGACACCAGAUAAGAGGCGGAGAGCAGGUGUCUAUGGUGUUGCUUUCUAGACCUUGCUGUUUCUUUCUGGUUAAAGAGUUUCAGUUGAAAAGAUGAAAUGAGGGGAAGGUCUAGAUGUUGGAAUGGUCUGAUAAAGCACAGAACUCCCUGACUGAAUCUUCCCAGCAAUCUGAGGAAGGGGGUAUUAUUAUACCCACUUAAGAAAUAAAGAAACAGAGAUCUCCAACAAUUAGGAAUGGAAGAGUGGAAUCCAAACCCAACACAACCCCAAACCCAAGUUAUUUUUGACUACACGGAAAUCCAGUCUUCCCCAAAACAGGAACCAUGUCUUUUGGUCUUCUGUGUGACCUCAGAGGUGACACACACAAAGAGCUCUUGACAAAACAUGUAGAAGAGCAUCUACAGGAAACCGUAUAGUGUCUUUUGCCAAAAGGUAACCCUCUUGCUCACCCCAAACCAGAGAGCACAAGUCAACCAUAACUUACUACCACAGCAUCAGAGACGAGGGAUGGAGCCUUAAACAUCCAUCCAUUCUGAAGGUGAUGUAUCCAAGCAUAAGAUGAUCACUUACCUAAAAGCAAGAG